AACACUGUUAACCUGCGGUACCUGCGGAGGGAUCAUUACAGAGUUGCAAAACUCCCUAAACCAUUGUGAACGUUACCUAAACCGUUGCUUCGGCGGGCGGCCCGGGUCCUUCCCGGCGCCCCUCGGCCCUCGCGGGCGCCCGCCGGAGGUAAACCAAACUAUUGCGUUGUAUGGCCUCUCUGAGUCUUCUGUACUGAAUAAGUCAAAACUUUCAGCAACGGAUCUCAGAUCGGAAGAGCA
rnacentral:misc_RNA from 1 species